rnacentral:rRNA from 1 species
CCUGUCCUACGGGAGGCAGCAGUGAGGAAUAUUGGUCAAUGGUCGGGAGACUGAACCAGCCAAGCCGCGUGAGGGAGGAAGGUACAGAGUAUCGUAAACCUCUUUUGUCAGGGAACAAAGACUGGGACGCGUCCCCGGAUGAGUGUACCUGAAGAAAAAGCAUCGGCUAACUCCGUGCCAGCAGCCGCGGUAAUACGGAGGAUGCGAGCGUUAUCCGGAUUUAUUGGGUUUAAAGGGUGCGCAGGCGGUCUGUUAAGUCAGCGGUCAAAGCCCGGGGCUCAACCCCGGCCCGCCGUUGAAACUGG